GGAAAUCACAGGCAAACCUGGCUGUGACAUCUGUCACCCCAUUGAUUGUUAGGGUACCUUCAGCUGAUCUGGCUAGCUAGGCUGGUGGCCUGCCCUCACCACUUCAUGUGUGUCCCUUCCAGAAGCUCUGCACUCUGUUGAAGAAAAGGACCUUCCCUAAGAGAGGAGACCAUCCUGGGACAUGGGUAUAUGAAUGAGUGACUGCACGUCCCUGCUAGAACCUCCACACGAGCUCCUGAGAAAUCAUGGGCAAAAUGAAAGUAAGUGUCAAAAUUGCAACCCACAGGCUCUGAGAUCAUCUGUAGUCCUCACA
rnacentral:snRNA from 1 species